GGAGUCUAAAUAAACUCGAGUGAACGAAAAUUUUAAGUCAUUAGCGAAAGCGGAUUCACCAUCAAAUUAUUUCAAAGAAAUAAAAUAAUUAGUUAAAUCGACUAAUGCGGAUGUUAGAUCUGAUAAUGAGUCAUGUCAAUAAUGUACCUACAUGAUUUAAAUUGUUGGCCACAGAGCAAAGUUCGACAAUCCAAUACAAGCAACUCAUUAAAUCGCGGUAGCCUCGAUCCAAUAACUGAAUGGGCCUUCGACUAUUUCGAAACGUGCACCAACUGAACUGUCACUGCAGUCAAAGCGUGACGAAGUCGAACGAGUGGCCGUGAAGUGCGUAGAGCAACCAGCGUGAUACGUAUAAGCGAUGACUCACCGAGCGGGAACGAUUAUACGCGCGCCCGCACAACAGAUAAGGAUGAAAGAUUUCCGAAAACAGGUUUGUGAUUUCGAGUUUCGAGCCGAUACGCUCCUGUCUAUGCCAACUAAAGUUCUGUCGGAACAGAGUUCCACGUACACGAAGCGCGGGAAGUUCUUUUAUUUGGUUGCCGCCAUUUCGAUCUGAAUUUCGACAGCCCUCGUUACCGACGCCAUUCACUAUUUAAUGGCUGUUAUCGUAAUUAGUCACAAACCGGUAAAGCAACUUCAACGUCCGAGUUAAAACAUUAUUGUUCUGAAUUAGCGAAAUCAUUAUCUUAUCAGGUAAAGGUUACCUACUGAACGUUUUCUUUAUCAAGAAUAGGUCUGUGUCGUGGUGAUGUCACCACUGCUUCGGUUUCUUUAUCUUGACGGCGAUAAAACAUUAAGAAUGUUCUACGGCCAUAAUAUAGUUAACAAAACACAGCGCAUUACGUACUUUGAGCGUGCCGUUUUUAUCCAUUUUCAAGUUCAAUACAACAGAAUAUGUUUGAAGCAUUCAUUGUAUUAGUACUGCAGCAUAAUUAUUUCUAUGCUGGUCAUGUUCAUAAGAUGAAACUUAUCGACGUGUGUUUCGCGUGUUCUUUAUCGAGUGGUACAGUGAUCAGCGAAGAAAGUCGCUGUACGAUUACAGGAAUUUUCCGACUCGGUGGAAACGAUCGCGUCUCGGCGAAUCAUUAAGAUUUUUUGCUGCGAUGCAACGUUGCCCACAGAGAAAACUCGUCAACAAUAUCAAAAUCGUGAUGUGUAAACUUUAUUUGUACUAACUUUUGUUUGCUAAACGCGUUUGUGACCAGAGCAUUUACAAAUAAACAUUAUAUCCGUCAUAAAUCACGGGCUCAGAGCAAUGAAUACAUUGCGAAGUUAACAAAAAACUAUAGCAGUAUCGUUAUUAUUAACGAUAAUAGUUUUGUAAAUUGACGUCACGGUCACUUAACCAACGUCGAGUUAUGGAAAUCAUGCAAAUUUUAAUAGUCAUUUCUAUUAUCUUCGUACGUAUUGUUUUUGCUUAAACGCUGUUUUUAUGAGGUAGAAUUCCACCGUGCAUAGCUUAAAAAUAUUUAUUUUAUAGAUAUAUUUUUAUUUAUAACAAAAAAUAAAACACGUUUGCCGUCAUUUAAAUUUCAAAUCUUUCCGUCUAGAAUUUAUUUGUAUCGUGUUAAUGCUGUUUAAAUUAUAGAUUGGUGAUUAAAUUAAAAAAACAACCUCACAAAUUUUAUCAUAUAAAAUAGAAAGAGUACAAUUUAGUUCAGAAAAGCUUAAACAAAAUAAGCUGCAUUAAUUUUCAAGAAUGCAACGAUUUAUAACUAUACAUUUCUUCUAGUUCUUAAUUUUUUAUUAGUCUGUUGAAAUAUUAAACUGACAACUGAUUUCCGUUCAAUAUAAUAUAUUAAAUAAAAGUAUUAUAAUACUCUAUUUCAAUAGUUGAAAAUCAUUAUUAGCAACUGUAAAAUAUACUUCUAAAAUAGAUCGAUUAAAAAAUAUCCUGACGGUGUUUUUUACAGUUUGUUUUAAAUAAAUCUACCGGCAAAUGUUAUGCCUAAUAUGAAA